rnacentral:sRNA from 1 species
AUCGAGGUGACAGUACCCACCUCAAAUGGUGACCAAACACAGGAUUUAGACAAGAGUCAAGAGGAGAUCAAAAAACAUCAUGCCAGCAUCAGUGAGCUGAAAAAGAACUUCAUGGAGUCUGUACCAGAACCACGGCCUAGUGAAUGGGAUAAACGCUUAUCCACUCACUCGCCCUUCCGAACUCUUAACAUCAAUGGGCAAAUCCCCACAGGAGAAGGACCUCCCCUGGUGAAGACACAAACUGUCACCAUCUCAGAUAAUG